UAUGUAGUGCAGGCUGGGCUUGAACUUGCUUAUGGAACCCUGAACUCACAGUGAUCCUCCUGCCUCAGCCUCUGGAGUGCUGAGAUUACAGAAAGGAGAGGAAGUAUUUAGAGGAACUAUUGCCCUGAGCCAAAUUUUGACCAGCCACGUGGAGCAAGCUGGAUUCACAUAGCUCGGCAAGUGCUCUACUUCUGAGCUACACUCUCCACCUGCAUUAUGGAAUAUUUAAUGAAGAAAGUCCCCAAGGUGAUGGACAAUGGUUUCCAGGGGCUGGUGAAGGGUUAUUGUGGAACAAGAUGUGGAGUUGGUGAGCUGAGUUGUUAUGGAUUAAGAACUGGUGGUCAACUUAACGCCAGCUGGAUUACAUCAGCAUGGCACUGAGUGAAGAUGCUCCACCUGAGGAAAGUUGCCAGGAUAAAUAAGUGGAGAAGAAGGGAGGUGUUAAGGAGGCAUUGUGGGUUCUCCUACGAGUUGCUGUCUGAUCUGUUGGUUCUCCUGGAGAAGCUUUUGGUCCUCACAUAGAGCACUGCUUCCUGACUCCAGAGGGGAAGACAUGUGCUGCUUGGUCUCCAGGAUGAACUUGUCACGCUGCUUCCUGGCACGUACCCAACUGUGCUUGUCGGAGGAGGAGCUCGGGGCCUCCAUGUCGCUGAGGACGGCUGUGGUGCCUUCAGGAUAGCCCUGGUCUUUGUGAGUGUGACUUCUCGGCUCCAGCAUAGAAUCUGCAUCCCACUAGCACAGCUCCUUCAUCCUUCUGGCAUAGACUUUCUGGCUUCCACUGCUGACCCUUGGGUCUUCCCGGCACGGAUCCAUAAAAGAGACUGGUGUGAGUCCUUCUUGUGGGCUCUCAACCUCCAGUUGGACUCGUGGGAGGCAUUGUCCUGAGCUCUGGGUUUUUAUCUGGACUCAUGUGGGACAUUGCCGUGGGGUUUAGGCUCUUGACUAAAUAAUCUAUGUCUUUGGUGUUACGGAUAGAUUUCCUGCAUUUCCCUGUGUUAACUUCUGGUGACCAUUAUAAAAAUAUAAACUCCAUGUCCUAAUGCUAGUUGUUCUCUGUGUACAACCCCUGACUACAACAUGAGUAAUACACAAUUGUAUAAAAAUACCACAACUUUUUUAUCCAUUCCUCAGUUGAUGGACACUUAGGUUGUU